rnacentral:tRNA from 1 species
GCCUGGGUGGCUCAGUCGGUUGAGCGUCCGACUUCGGCUCAGGUCAUGAUCUCCCGGUUCUCGGGUUCGAGCCCCGCGUCAGGCU